ACUCCUACGGGAGGCAGCAGUGGGGAAUAUUGCACAAUGGGGGAAACCCUGAUGCAGCCAUGCCGCGUGUGUGAAGAAGGCCUUCGGUUGUAAAGCACUUUCAGUAGGGAGGAAGGUAGUGUAGUUAACACCUGCAUUAUUUGACGUUACCUACAGAAGAAGCACCGGCUAACUCCGUGCCAGCAGCCGCGGUAAUACGGAGGGGUGCGAGCGUUAAUCGGAAUUACUGGGCGUAAAGCGCAUGCAGGCGGCCUGUUAAGUCAGAUGUGAAAGCCCGGGGGCUUAACCUCGGAAUUGCAUUUGAAACUGGCAGGCUAGAGUCUUGUAGAGGGGGUAGAAUUUCAGGUGUAGCGGUGAAAUAGCGUAGAGAUCUG
rnacentral:rRNA from 1 species